UACGAAGGGCGCAAGCGUUACUCGGAAUUACUGGGCGUAAAGCGUGCGUAGGUGGUGAGUUAAGUCUGAUGUGAAAUCCCCGGGCUCAACCUGGGAAUGGCAUUGGAUACUGGCUCGCUAGAGUGCGGUAGAGGGUGGUGGAAUUCCCGGUGUAGCAGUGAAAUGCGUAGAGAUCGGGAGGAACAUCUGUGGCGAAGGCGGCCACCUGGACCAACACUGACACUGAGGCACGAAAGCGUGGGGAGCAAGCAGG
rnacentral:rRNA from 1 species